rnacentral:rRNA from 1 species
CGUAGGAUGGGACUGCGGCCUAUCAGUUUGUUGGUGAGGUAAUGGCCCACCAAGACUAUUACAGGUACGGGCUCUGAGAGGAGUGGCCCGGAGAUGGGUACUGAGACACGGACCCAGGCCCUAUGGGGCGCAGCAGGCGAGAAAACUUUGCAAUGUGCGAAAGCACGACAAGGUUAAUCCGAGUGGUUUCUGCUAAAGAAACCUUUUGUUAGUCCUAGAAACACUAGUGAAUAAGGGGUGGGCAAGUUCUGGUGUCAGCCGCCGCGGUAAAACCAGCACCUCAAGUGGUCAGGAUGAUUAUUGGGCCUAAAGCAUCCGUAGCUCGUUUUGUAAGUUUUCGGUUAAAUCCAUGCGCUUAACGUAUGGGCUGCCGGGAAUACUGCAUAACUAGGAAGUGGGAGAGGUAGACGGUACUCGGUAGGAAGGGGUAAAAUCCUUUGAUCUAUUGAUGACCACCUGUGGCGAAGGCGGUCUACCAGAACACGUUCGACGGUGAGGGAUGAAAGCUGGGGGAGCAAACCGGAUUAGAUACCCGGGUAGUCCCAGCUGUAAACUAUGCAAACUCAGUGAUGCAUUGGCUUGUGGCCAAUGCAGUGCUGCAGGGAAGCCGUUAAGUUCGCCGCCUGGGAAGUAC